UCACUUUGGCAGUACAGAUACUAAAAUUGGAACGAUACAGAGAAAAUUAGCAUGGUCCCUGAGAAAGGAUGACACACAAAUUUAUGAAGUGCUUCAUAUUUUU
rnacentral:snRNA from 1 species